GGAGGUAUAGCUCAAGUGGUAGAGAGUGUGCUUAGCAUGCAUGAGAUCUCAGGUUCAAUCCCCAGUACCUCCU
rnacentral:tRNA from 1 species